rnacentral:rRNA from 1 species
GACGAACGCUGGCGGCGUGCUUAACACAUGCAAGUCGAGCGGUAAGGCCCUUUCGGGGUACGACGAGCGGCGAACGGGUGAGUAACACGUGGGUGACCUGCCCUCAGCUCUGGGAUAAGCCUGGGAAACCGGGGUCUAAUGCUGGAUAUGACUCCAUGACGCAUGUUGUGGGGUGGAAAGCCUUGUGCGGCUGAGGAUGGGCCCGGCGGCCUAUCAGCUUGUUGGUGGGGUGGAUGGCCUACCAAGGCGA